CCCCAGACUCCUACGGGAGGCAGCAGUGGGGAAUAUUGCACAAUGGGGGAAACCCUGAUGCAGCGACGCCGCGUGAGUGAAGAAGUAUUUCGGUAUGUAAAGCUCUAUCAGCAGGGAAGAAAAUGACGGUACCUGACUAAGAAGCCCCGGCUAACUACGUGCCAGCAGCCGCGGUAAUACGUAGGGGGCAAGCGUUAUCCGGAUUUACUGGGUGUAAAGGGAGCGUAGACGGCAUGGCAAGUCAGAUGUGAAAGCCCGGGGCUCAAUCCCGGGACUGCAUUUGAAACUGUCAGGCUGGAGUGCAGGAGAGGUAAGUGGAAUUCCUAGUGUAGCGGUGAAAUGCGUAGAUAUUAGGAGGAACACCAGUGGCGAAGGCGGCUUACUGGACUGUAACUGACGUUGAGGCUCGAAAGCGUGGGGAGCAAACAGGAUUAGAUACCCCCGUA
rnacentral:rRNA from 1 species